UCCAAAGAUCAGGGUCCUUGCCCUGGAGGUCCUUAUAGUUUCAUGGGGGAGCCAGACCAAUCUGUUCAAUCUAGGAAGAUUUAUGAAGUGCCUACAAUGUGCCAAAAAAAGUUCUAGAUGUUUGGGUUACAGCAGUACACAAAAUAGACAAAUAUCCCCGUGUCCCCAAAAUCUUAUUCCCUCAGAAGCACUAAAGUGUGAACAUAUUAAUAAUUUAUGGGUCAUCUGAUCCAGACACAUGUCCAGUCUCUGUCAAUAGUAUUUGGGGUUGGAAUAUACCAUAACUCCUUGUUAUGUACUAUGAUAUUUUUAUUCCACCCUCCCCCAAAAGUAAAGUAAAGUAAAGUAAAGUAAAGUAAAGUAAAGUAAAGAAGUAAACUAAAGUAAAAGUAGAGGCAUUAGGAUUGAAGAGAGGUAAUAGGAUGUGGUCCCAAAAAUGGCACCCCUAGUGUGCCAUAGCAACACAGCCUUGUAAUUGUGAGGUAGAUCCAUGAUGUCACUGUGUCCUAGAGGAUUCAUAAGGGUGGAUGACCAGGGUGACUAUCACCCUUCAUCCCCAGCUCAGCUAACUACCAUCCUCACCACCAAGCUAUUUUGAAGUUCUCUUCGUUCAUUUAAAUUCUAUUUUGAGUGGAUUUAGUAUAACUGGAGCUGUAGAUGGAGCAGUAGAUGGCUAAUUAUUCUCCAUGACCAAGAAAUGAUCCUUCUGAGUACUCUACCUAACAUCCCAUAAAUCCUGAGGUUUUCCAGCCUGGCUGUUGGCAACAGUCUUUUUUCUUAUUAAUUUCAAGCAAACUGAGAACCUUGAGCUUCAAUUUCCUAUCCAGCCCUGAGAUUCAAAGGUAGCUUUGAGCUGAGACUAUUCGUCCAUGGAUCCUCCACGUAAAGUUACCCCACCUUUUAAUUCUGAUUCAUUGCUGAUUCCACCAAAAGAAAUGUCCCAGAAACUUACAUCAACUUCCCAAUCAUCUUUCUCCAAAGUGCAAAACCUGGAUCAUAUUAACGUUAGCCCCAGUUUUAAUAGCAACUACCUCACCCCUCUACCAGAGGAAACGAUCCAACAGCAGCAAUACAGAGAUGAGAUGAGCCAACAUGAGAGGCAGUGGGAGAAGUCAGCGUUCCCUCAGAGGAAAAAGACAUUCAUGGAGAACAUGAGACAGAAAAGUUACUAUCACAUGGCACCUUAUCGGGUUGAAAGGGAAGGAAAGAUCUAUUUCUCACAUGACAGAGAUCAGAAUAAGUGUAAAUGCCAUUAUUGCCUCAUUCAAAGGGAAGCUAUUUCCGGGAACUGUAAAGGGCAAAAUGCAUCCUCUUGGAAAAUGCUAGUAGAAGGCUUUAGCCACUUGAACAUCAACUCUGAUACCACAGAGUCCCGCUGUCCAUCAGAAAAGCUUCCACAGGAGUAGAAAAGAAAGAAGAGCCAUCAAGAGAGGGAGAAGAAAAUCAAACAGUUCUUCAGAGGCCCUGAAAACAAUAAUUGAAAUAAACCGAAACUCAUCCUCAUGUGAUGAGAUCAGAAUUAA